rnacentral:rRNA from 1 species
GAUGAACGCUGGCGGCGUGCUUAACACAUGCAAGUCGAACGAAGCACUUUACUUGAUCUUUUCGGAGUGAUUGUUUUGUGACUGAGUGGCGGACGGGUGAGUAACGCGUGGGUAACCUGCCUCACACAAGGGGAUAACAGUUGGAAACGGCUGCUAAUACCGCAUAAGCGCACAGUACCGCAUGGUACGGUGUGAAAAACUCCGGUGGUGUGAGAUGGACCCGCGUCUGAUUAGCUAGUUGGCAGGGCAGCGGCCUACCAAGGCGACGAUCAGUAGCCGACCUGAGAGGGUGACCGGCCACAUUGGGACUGAGACACGGCCCAAACUCCUACGGGAGGCAGCAGUGGGGAAUAUUGCACAAUGGGGGAAACCCUGAUGCAGCGACGCCGCGUGAGCGAAGAAGUAUUUCGGUAUGUAAAGCUCUAUCAGCAGGGAAGAAGAAAUGACGGUACCUGACUAAGAAGCACCGGCUAAAUACGUGCCAGCCGCCGCGGUAA